rnacentral:rRNA from 1 species
UACGAAGGGGGCUAGCGUUGUUCGGAAUUACUGGGCGUAAAGCGCGUGUAGGCGGGGCUUUAAGUCAGGGGGGAAAUGCCAGGGCUCAACCUUGGAACUGCCUUUGAUACUGGAGACCUUGAGUCCGGGAGAGGUGAGUGGAAUUGCGAGUGUAGAGGUGAAAUUCGUAGAUAUUCGCAAGAACACCAGUGGCGAAGGCGGCUCACUGGCCCGGAACUGACGCUGAGACGCGAAAGCGUGGGGAGCAAACAGG